rnacentral:lncRNA from 1 species
AUGGGGGCGUUCCGCAGGCCGGAGCCCGGCUUGCGCCUUGGAGAGGCGGGUGGUCAUGGGACCUCGCGCUGCAGAGCCGGGAGCGGACGGGCGGUGCAGAAGGCCCGGGGGCCGCGGCCGGGCCCGGAGCCUCUCAACCGCGCGCCGAAGGCAGUGAACUUUGAGCGCAUCUGGGUCAUCACGCCCCCCACAAGCAGCCAGUCCAGGGCCCGUCUGCGACGCCAGACCCUGCCCAUGGCCAGCCACUUUUCCAGAGGAAAGCACGGCCCCACAGGAGGCCCCACCCGCCCCGUCACAGCUUUGAAGGUGGGAGCCAGGAGGCCAACUCGAAAUGGCAUGGAGGGUAAACAGCUGAGGACCCAGUUUGGCCUGGUCAGGAGGCUGGCCGGCUACAAAGGGACACUGUUCGGAAAUCUGCUCCCCCACAGUAUGCACACAUGUGAAGGAAAAAACAGAAGAAUCAGAGUCUGGCAGGAUUUCAGAGGAAGGAGAGAGGCUGGAUUCCUUGAUUUCCUCUGCACACCUGCCACCUCCCCAGCUGGGCACCUUGAAUCAAUUUACAGAUGA